UACGUAGGGACCAAGCGUUGUUCGGAUUUACUGGGCGUAAAGGGCGCGUAGGCGGCGCGGUAAGUCACUUGUGAAAUCUCUGAGCUUAACUCAGAACGGCCAAGUGAUACUGCAGUGCUAGAGUGUGGAAGGGGCAAUCGGAAUUCUUGGUGUAGCGGUGAAAAUGGCGUAGAUAUCAAGAGGAACACCUGCGGCGAAGGCGGGUUGCUGGGCCGACACUGACGCUGAGGCGCGAAAGCUAGGGGAGCGAACAGG
rnacentral:rRNA from 1 species